rnacentral:rRNA from 1 species
GUGGGGAAUAUUGGACAAUGGGCGCAAGCCUGAUCCAGCCAUGCCGCGUGAGUGAUGAAGGCCUUAGGGUUGUAAAGCUCUUUCAGUGGGGACGAUAAUGACGGUACCCACAGAAGAAGCCCCGGCUAACUUCGUGCCAGCAGCCGCGGUAAUACGAAGGGGGCUAGCGUUGUUCGGAUUUACUGGGCGUAAAGCGCACGUAGGCGGAUCGUUAAGUCGGGGGGGAAAUCCUGGAGCUCAACUCCAGAACUGCCUUCGAUACUGGCGAUCUUGAGUCCGGAAGAGGUGAGUGGAACUCCUAGUGUAGAGGUGGAAUUCGUAGAUAUUAGGAAGAACACCAGUGGCGAAGGCGGCUCACUGGUCCGGUACUGACGCUGAGGUGCGAAAGCGUGGGGAGCAAACAGGAUUAGAAACCCUUGUAGUCC